rfam:Ciona savignyi cont_31828, whole genome shotgun sequence.
GGCCCGUUGGUCUAAGGGCAUGAUUCUCGCUUUGGGUGCGAGAGGUCCCGGGUUCAAAUCCCGGACGGGCCC